rnacentral:lncRNA from 1 species
GUGGGAGAGGGGGUGGGCAUGUGGACCAGGCCAGCCGCCACCGAGGACACCUUGUGUGGCCCCAGUCCUGGCACUGGCCUGGCUCCUAGUGAGGGUGGCCAGACCCUGGGCAGGGCUUCGUCGGCUGAGCUGCCUCCUGGCUGGUGGGCCUCAGCCUGCUUCUGAGGGAGGAGCAGCCCAGGUGUCCCUCAGCCUGUUUCAGCUCCAGCCGCUCCCUCGUGUUCUGUCUGCACUUAGUCCCCCCACGUGCUGCCCACCUCACACACACCGCUGCCUUCCUGCCUGCUGGAAGCUGGGUGAGACAGCCUGCCCUCUUGCAGAGCAUCACAGGGGCACCUGGCCCUCCACUGCCCCACCUCUGACCUCUGUGGUGUCACUGUGCUGCCCUGGGGACCCCAGGGUCAAGGGCUCGAGCUGUGUGCCCAGCUGUGGCCCCUCCAAAGAGUCCAGAACCAACCAAGGCCCUUGACUGUGCAACCCUGGUUCUUGCCUCGCCUGAGAGUCUCUGCCCAAAUGCAUCUGGAGUCCCUGCCCUGCCAUGGAACUAGAGGUCGGAAGAGUGCAAGUGUGGGAUCGCUGUCCCCACCGGAGGCCCAGGACAAGCCACCCGGGUGAGGAGAGCUGGCAAGAAAGGAGGACCAUCCCUAGACACCUUGUGUUUGAAUGAGUCUGCUCAAGCCUCAGUACUUGUCUGCUCUUCAUUUUUGCAUUUCAAUCCUGUUCCAUCUGGGCUUUCUGUAGGAAUGAG